rnacentral:rRNA from 1 species
UGCAAGUCGAGCGGUAGAGAGAAGCUUGCUUCUCUUGAGAGCGGCGGACGGGUGAGUAAUGCCUAGGAAUCUGCCUGGUAGUGGGGGAUAACGUUCGGAAACGGACGCUAAUACCGCAUACGUCCUACGGGAGAAAGCAGGGGACCUUCGGGCCUUGCGCUAUCAGAUGAGCCUAGGUCGGAUUAGCUAGUUGGUGAGGUAAUGGCUCACCAAGGCGACGAUCCGUAACUGGUCUGAGAGGAUGAUCAGUCACACUGGAACUGAGACACGGUCCAGACUCCUACGGGAGGCAGCAGUGGGGAAUAUUGGACAAUGGGCGAAAGCCUGAUCCAGCCAUGCCGCGUGUGUGAAGAAGGUCUUCGGAUUGUAAAGCACUUUAAGUUGGGAGGAAGGGUACUUACCUAAUACGUGAGUAUUUUGACGUUACCGACAGAAUAAGCACCGGCUAACUCUGUGCCAGCAGCCGCGGUAAUACAGAGGGUGCAAGCGUUAAUCGGAAUUACUGGGCGUAAAGCGCGCGUAGGUGGUUCGUUAAGUUGGAUGUGAAAUCCCCGGGCUCAACCUGGGAACUGCAUCCAAAACUGGCGAGCUAGAGUAUGGUAGAGGGUGGUGGAAUUUCCUGUGUAGCGGUGAAAUGCGUAGAUAUAGGAAGGAACACCAGUGGCGAAGGCGACCACCUGGACUGAUACUGACACUGAGGUGCGAAAGCGUGGGGAGCAAACAGGAUUAGAUACCCUGGUAGUCCACGCCGUAAACGAUGUCAACUAGCCGUUGGGAGCCUUGAGCUCUUAGUGGCGCAGCUAACGCAUUAAGUUGACCGCCUGGGGAGUACGGCCGCAAGGUUAAAACUCAAAUGAAUUGACGGGGCCCGCACAAGCGGUGGAGCAUGGUGGUUUAAUUCGAAGCAACGCGAAGAACCUUACCAGGCCUUGACAUCCAAUGAACUUUCCAGAGA